rfam:Chlorocebus sabaeus isolate 1994-021 chromosome 3, whole genome shotgun sequence.
GCCGGGCGCGGCGGCUCACGCCUGUAAUCCCAGCACUUUGGGAGGCCAGGGCGGGUGGAUCACGAGGUCAGGAGAUCGAGACCAUCUUGGGUAACAUGGUGAAAUCCCAUCUCUACUAAAAAAUACAAAAAAAAUUAGCCAGGCAUGGUGGUGGGUGCCUGUAGUCCCAGCUACUCGAGAGNNNNNNNNNNCUCUCGAGUAGCUGGGACUACAGGCACCCACCACCAUGCCUGGCUAAUUUUUUUUGUAUUUUUUAGUAGAGAUGGGAUUUCACCAUGUUACCCAAGAUGGUCUCGAUCUCCUGACCUCGUGAUCCACCCGCCCUGGC